rnacentral:rRNA from 1 species
UACGUAGGCAGCGAGCGUUGUUCGGAGUUAUUGGGCGUAAAGGGCUCGUAGGCGGUCCAUCGCGUCGGGAGUGAAAAGCUGGGGCUUAACCCCAGUCCUGCUUCCGAUACGGGUGGACUAGAGGUAGGUAGGGGAGAACGGAAUUCCUGGUGUAGCGGUGAAAUGCGCAGAUAUCAGGAGGAACACCGGUGGCGAAAGCGGCGCGCUGGACCUCUUCUGACGCUGAGGCGCGAAAGCCAGGGGAGCGAACGGG